GGCAUGCUUAUCUCGUGAUCGUAAGACGAGUUUUAAAAUUACUAGGACAACCAAAUGAAUCCAUUUUGCAUUUACCUUAGUAACCGUAAUGAAAUUUAGUGUCAUCGCCUAAGUAACAUUUACAAUAAAUCAAUCUGAUAGCGUGGAUGUGCUAUUACAGAGGUGUCCUAAACUUCAAGAACUUGACAUCUCUAUUGGGGCCAAAGAAAAUUCUGCAGAUUUUUGUCCCAAAUUGGAGUAUCUUACCCAGCUUCAAAUAUUUCGCCUUUCCUUUCAGUAGCCCCAAAUUGUUUCUGAGUUACACUUGCCUUCAAACUUAAUGAAGUUGGUACUAGAAAAGACUCACAUAGAAAGUGCCAUUUCCAUCGUCGGGGAACUACUAUGUCUGGAGUAUCUCCAAUUAAGGGGUCCGUAUUUUUUCUCGAUCCAAAGAGUGGUGCCUUCGAGAUAUCACGUUCCAUAAACUCAAGUACUUAAAACUGGUGUGGUUAAGUAUCUCAAGGUGGGAUGCCUUGGAAGAAUCUUUUCCACAGCUUGAAACACUUGUUAUAAAAGGGUGUUACAUGCUCGAGGAGAUCCCCCUAAGCUUUGCAGAUAUUCCAACGCUGAGACAGAUAAAAUUGAUUAACUGCAACAAUAAAUCUCUCGAGGCUUCAGCUGUCAAAAUUAAGGAAGAAGUCGCUGAUAUUGAAGGAUGUGACCGUAUUGACCUCACUGUCGGAGAUAGCGGGAAAAUCUAAAGUAGCUGUGAGUCAAGCACAUGCUUGUAACAACGACAUGACAACAGCAGCGAAAGCACAGGCAGGGUGGAUGGAUUUCUUUCCAAGCGAAUUGUUGUAGCCAAGCUGAUGUCUAUUGUGCAGCUAGCCAAAACACUAGUACUGGUUGCUAAGUUUGUUUUGAUUGAUCAACUGGGACACAUGCCCUCUUUUUCUGUACGUUAUAGAUGAUUGGAGACCUAUAUAUAUUAGAGGGCCUUUCACCGUGAUUUCUUGCUCCUUGUAUUAACAUCAUGCUUUUCUUAUUCAGCUUUAUAAUUUUAGAACCAGACAAAACGUUGUUUAAUUUU